AUCUAACUGACGAGUCUCAAAUAGGACGAAACGCCCAUCAAACUAGAU
rfam:Schistosoma haematobium scaffold929_20, whole genome shotgun sequence.